AGUAUCAAUGAAGUGUGUUCUACA
rnacentral:siRNA from 1 species